rnacentral:tRNA from 1 species
UCCUGGUUAGCUCAAUUGGUAGAGCAACCGCCCCAGAAAGGCGUUGGUUCUGGGUUUGAUCCCCAGACCAGGAC